rnacentral:rRNA from 1 species
UACAGAGGGUGCGAGCGUUAAUCGGAAUUACUGGGCGUAAAGCGUGCGCAGGCGGUUCGUUGUGUCUGCUGUGCAAUCCCCGGGCUCAACCUGAGAAUGGCAGUGGAAACUGGCGAGCUUGAGUGUGGCAGAGGGGGGUGGAAUUCCGCGUGUAGCAGUGAAAUGCGUAGAGAUGCGGAGGAACACCGAUGGCGAAGGCAACCCCCUGGGCUGACACUGACGCUCAGGCACGAAAGCGUGGGGAGCAAACAGG